rnacentral:miRNA from 1 species
UGCAAUUGACAAGAAAAUCUUUU